rnacentral:rRNA from 1 species
CACGCCCUAAACGAUGAACACUAGUCGUUACGGAGCUAGUCUCUGUAGUGACGCAGCUAACGCAUUAAGUGUUCCGCCUGGGGAGUACGGUCGCAAGAUUAAAACUCAAAGGAAUAGACGGGGACCCGCACAAGCGGUGGAGCAUGUGGUUUAAUUCGAAGAUACGCGAAGAACCUUACCAAGGCUUGACAUGUUAGGAAUCUUGUAGAAAUAUGAGAGCGCUAGCUUGCUAGAACCUAAACACAGGUGC